rnacentral:rRNA from 1 species
UCCUGUAGUCGAAAAUGUUGUCUCUCUUGAGUGGAUCCUGAGUACGACGGAGCACGUGAAAUUCCGUCGGAAUCUGGGAGGACCAUCUCCUAAGGCUAAAUACUCUCUAGUGACCGAUAGUGAACCAGUACCGUGAGGGAAAGGUGAAAAGCACCCCGGAAGGGGAGUGAAAUAGAACCUGAAACCGUGUGCUUACAAGUAGUCAGAGCCCGUUAAUGGGUGAUGGCGUGCCUUUUGUAGAAUGAACCGGCGAGUUACGAUUUGAUGCAAGGUUAAGCAGUAAAUGUGGAGCCGUAGCGAAAGCGAGUCUGAAUAGGGCGUUUAGUAUUUGGUCGUAGACCCGAAACCAGGUGAUCUACCCUUGGUCAGGUUGAAGUUCAGGUAACACUGAAUGGAGGACCGAACCGACUUACGUUGAAAAGUGAGCGGAUGAACUGAGGGUAGCGGAGAAAUUCCAAUCGAACCUGGAGAUAGCUGGUUCUCUCCGAAAUAGCUUUAGGGCUAGCCUCAAGUGAUGAUUAUUGGAGGUAGAGCACUGUUUGGACGAGGGGCCCCUCUCGGGUUACCGAAUUCAGACAAACUCCGAAUGCCAAUUAAUUUAACUUGGGAGUCAGAACAUGGGUGAUAAGGUCCGUGUUCGAAAGGGAAACAGCCCAGACCACCAGCUAAGGUCCCAAAAUAUAUGUUAAGUGGAAAAGGAUGUGGCGUUGCCCAGACAACUAGGAUGUUGGCUUAGAAGCAGCCAUCAUUUAAAGAGUGCGUAAUAGCUCACUAGUCGAGUGACACUGCGCCGAAAAUGUACCGGGGCUAAACAUAUUACCGAAGCUGUGGAUUGUCCUUUGGACAAUGGUAGGAGAGCGUUCUAAGGGCGUUGAAGCAUGAUCGUAAGGACAUGUGGAGCGCUUAGAAGUGAGAAUGCCGGUGUGAGUAGCGAAAGACGGGUGAGAAUCCCGUCCACCGAUUGACUAAGGUUUCCAGAGGAAGGCUCGUCCGCUCUGGGUUAGUCGGGUCCUAAGCUGAGGCCGACAGGCGUAGGCGAUGGAUAACAGGUUGAUAUUCCUGUACCACCUAUAAUCGUUUUAAUCGAUGGGGGGACGCAGUAGGAUAGGCGAAGCGUGCGAUUGGAUUGCACGUCUAAGCAGUAAGGCUGAGUAUUAGGCAAAUCCGGUACUCGUUAAGGCUGAGCUGUGAUGGGGAGAAGACAUUGAGUCUUCGAGUCGUUGAUUUCACACUGCCGAGAAAAGCCUCUAGAUAGAAAAUAGGUGCCCGUACCGCAAACCGACACAGGUAGUCAAGAUGAGAAUUCUAAGGUGAGCGAGCGAACUCUCGUUAAGGAACUCGGCAAAAUGACCCCGUAACUUCGGGAGAAGGGGUGCUCUUUAGGGUUAACGCCCAGAAGAGCCGCAGUGAAUAGGCCCAAGCGACUGUUUAUCAAAAACACAGGUCUCUGCUAAACCGUAAGGUGAUGUAUAGGGGCUGACGCCUGCCCGGUGCUGGAAGGUUAAGAGGAGUGGUUAGCUUCUGCGAAGCUACGAAUCGAAGCCCCAGUAAACGGCGGCCGUAACUAUAACGGUCCUAAGGUAGCGAAAUUCCUUGUCGGGUAAGUUCCGACCCGCACGAAAGGCGUAACGAUUUGGGCACUGUCUCAACGAGAGACUCGGUGAAAUCAUAGUACCUGUGAAGAUGCAGGUUACCCGCGACAGGACGGAAAGACCCCGUGGAGCUUUACUGUAGCCUGAUAUUGAAAUUCGGCACAGCUUGUACAGGAUAGGUAGGAGCCUUUGAAACGUGAGCGCUAGCUUACGUGGAGGCGCUGGUGGGAUACUACCCUAGCUGUGUUGGCUUUCUAACCCGCACCACUUAUCGUGGUGGGAGACAGUGUCA